CUGGCUCAACAGAGGCGACUGUUAAAUUUUCAAGAAUUUUGGUUAUUUCUGUCCCUGUGAAAGAGUCAGAAGAGUGGCAAGAGAAAGCGGAAGGAGAAGGCUAUCGGCUGCUGUUGGUGACUAGCAUUGCUGUGGUUGUUGCUUUUGUUGCUACUGGAGGACGUAUAGCCCCACAGUGUGUAUCCCGUAGGUUACACACUGGGUGUUAGCAGUUGGUGCCCCACUAGGAGUUCACCCCAAUAGAUUUUGUACAUCACAACCCAAGAAGGCCCAGUCACAAAAGACUCAGAACCCCCAGAAGACAGUUUCUGUUCUGCACUUUUGGCCUUAUCUUUAUUUCCCCUUCCAAAGGCAGCAAUAGUGACACGCAGCCCCUAAGAACCUGCUGGGCUCAUCCAUCGUAGACGGCAGUUGUUUACCUGCCAGCUUGUUCUCUUCUUUGCACUGAAAGAGACUGAGCUCCAGUACAAUCUACCCAACCUGCACUUGUUUCUUCUACUGAUCCACUCAUUCUAAUGGAUAUAAUAGUGGACCACAGAUUUGUGGUAUCGUUGCUUAGCUACUUUUAUUAGUUAACAAUAAGUGUGUUUAAUCUUUCAUUAGACUGUAAAUGUUCUAAGGUUUCCAUGACUAUAAAUGUAGUUAUCACACCAAAUGGUCUCUUUCCCUAGGCUUUUCUUGAAACAUCCUUAACCCUUUGGGUCCACUCAUCUUUGAUCCCUUUUGUAAACCUCCAGGCCUUUGAGGAUAGGCUGAGGUAUAUUCAUUAACUCCUUCCCUUGUUUCUACUAAUUUCAUUUCAACACUCAAGUCCAUUUCAAGCUACGCCUGUUCCAGGAAGCCGCCUCGUCAUCCAGCUCCGCCCUGAGCCAUUCGUGGGAAGCAGAGACGCUACAAAUACUGAGUAGGGAAAAUGAAUUCCUUCAGAGCUGUCUUCCUAUCUUAUUAUUGGAAUUUUACUGCAGUAUCCAUUUCUUGGAGAAAUUUAGGGACUGCAGCCUUCCACUGGGACACCCAGCCUUUGCUCGAGCCCCUGCCUCGCCCGGAUUGGACUGCAGAGGGAGCGGUCAGUCGUCAGUCCCCCUUCACUCUGCAAAGCAGGAGGCUGCAAAUUGUGGCGCCACCCUUCCUUCCGGUUUCCAAAGCGCUUCCUCAAAUGCGGAACGUUUAAGGAGAUGGAAAGAGAGGAGAAGUUGGAAGAGACUAAUUGGACACUCCAGCGAGAAAAGCACCACAGCCACUUGGUGUCGGUGUGGGGAACAGGGCAGCAGCGUGGGGGAGACAGCAGUGUCUGCAAAGGGGCAGUGGUCCCAGGCGGUGGGCUGGUCCGCGCUCAGGAUGCCUACUUUAGUUUCACAACUGCCUCUUACCUCCUGACAUUAUUGUGGGAAAGGUGCUAAAUCUACCUGAACCCCAGUUUUCUCAUCUGUAAGACAGCAAUAAUAAUAUCUGCUGGGCCAAUUUCACACGAUUGUUGCAAGGAUCAAAUACUACGAUAACGGGGGUGAAAGUGCUCUGAAGGGUUAAAGCCUGUGUGUGUGGGGGGGGGGGCACCACCGAUAUCAACAUGGAGGGAAGGGCAUGCAGGGAGGUGACAAAGGUAAUAUCCGACAAAGAGCAAGUGCUUACCCGUGCCAGACAAUGUUUAAGAGCCUGACAUGUACGAAAGCACCUAAAGUAAUGAGAGGGAAGACUCAUAGACCAUCUGCUUUGCCGAGUCACCCCAGAUGAAAGCACUGAUGUACCAUUUUCUUUUUUUUAAAGAUUUUAUUUUUUUCCCAAAACCCCCUGGCACAUAGUUGUGUAUUUUUUUUUUUAGUUGUGGGUUCUUCUAGUUGUGGCAUGUGGGAUGCCCCCUCAGCACGGCUUGAUGAGCAGUGCCAUGUCCACAGCCAGGAUUCGAACUGGCGAAACCCUGGGCCACUGAAGCAGAGCGCGCAAACCUAACCACUCGGCCACGGGGCCAGCCCAUGACGUACCAUUUUUAAUAAAAGAAUAAAACAACCAUCUUUGAGAUGAAUA
rnacentral:lncRNA from 1 species